AGCGAACGCUGGCGGCAGGCCUAACACAUGCAAGUCGAGCGGCCGUAGCAAUACGGCAGCGGCAGACGGGAGAGUAACACGUGGGAACGCGCCCUUCGGUUCGGGAUAACUCAGGGAAACUUGGGCUAAUACCGGAUACGCCCUUACGGGGAAAGAUUUAUUGCCGAAGGAACGGCCCGCGUCCGAUUAGCUUGUUGGUGAGGUAACGGCUCACCAAAGCGACGAUCAGUGGCUGGUCUGCGAGGAUGACCCGCCUCACUGGGACUGAGACACGGCCCAGACUCCUACGGGAGGAAGCAGUGGGGAAGAUUGGACAAUGGGCGCAAGCCUGAUCCAGCCAGGCCGCGUGGGUGAUGAAGGCCCUAGGGUUGUAAAGCCCUUUCAGCGGGGAAGAUAAUGACGGUACCCGCAGAGGAAGCCCCGGCUAACUUCGUGCCAGCCGCCGCGGUAACAC
rnacentral:rRNA from 1 species